rnacentral:rRNA from 1 species
UACGGAGGGGGCUAGCGUUGUUCGGAAUUACUGGGCGUAAAGCGCACGUAGGCGGCUUUGUAAGUUAGAGGUGAAAGCCCAGAGCUCAACUCUGGAAUUGCCUUUUAGACUGCAUCGCUUGAAUCCAGGAGAGGUGAGUGGAAUUCCGAGUGUAGAGGUGAAAUUCGUAGAUAUUCGGAAGAACACCAGUGGCGAAGGCGGCUCGCUGGACUGGCAUUGACGCUGAGGUGCGAAAGCGUGGGGAGCAAACAGG